rnacentral:misc_RNA from 1 species
GUUGGCCCUCUCCGCUCGACGCCCUCUACGGGCGUGGGGUGGACGUCAGGCAAGCUCCGUGUUCCUGGCACGCCUCGCCCAGCUGCGUGGGCUGCCUAGGCGCACGGCGUCGUUGCCCGUUCUCUCGGAUGCGGAACGUCAUGCGCGGGUGCGGGGGUCUAGGCCUUCGCCAGCCCGAGCUACGCAUUUGUCCCUCGGCACGGACGACGGUCGCUCCCGUCUUGACCCCGGGGCCUUCGGGCCCGACGGGGCUCAUGCGGGCGUCGACGUCGCGGAAGAAUGCUACCUGGUUGAUCCUGCCA